AUAUGAGCCUUGAUCGCAUGAUCGGGGCUGGAAAGUUUUUCGGUUGAAGAUGACUUCGCGGCCUAUCAGCUUGUUGGUGAGGUAAUGGCUCACCAAGGCGACGACGGGUAGCCGGCCUGAGAGGGCGACCGGCCACACUGGGACUGAGACACGGCCCAGACUCCUACGGGAGGCAGCAGUGGGGAAUAUUGGGCAAUGGAGGAAACUCUGACCCAGCGACGCCGCGUGAGGGAUGAAGGCCUUCGGGUUGUAAACCUCUUUCAGUAGGGAAGAAGCGAAAGUGACGGUACCUACAGAAGAAGCACCGGCUAACUAUGUGCCAGCAGCCGCGGUAAUACAUAGGGUGCAAGCGUUGUCCGGAAUUAUUGGGCGUAAAGAGCUCGUAGGUGGUUCGAUACGUCGGAUGUGAAAAUCAGGGGCUCAACCCCUGACCUGCAUCCGAUACGGUCGAGCUAGAGUUUGGUAGGGGAGACUGGAAUUCCUGGUGUAGCGGUGGAAUGCGCAGAUAUCAGGAGGAACACCGAUGGCGAAGGCAGGUCUCUGGGCCAAUACUGACACUGAGGAGCGAAAGCGUGGGGAGCGAACAGGAUUAGAUACCCUGGUAGUCCACGCCGUAAACGGUGGGCGCUAGUUGUGCGAACCUUCCACGGUUUGUGCGACGCAGCUAACGCAUUAAGCGCCCCGCCUGGGGAGUACGAUCGCAAGAUUA
rnacentral:rRNA from 1 species